GCUGGCCGAGCCGCUGGCGCGGCUGUCCGUUCCCGCCGAAGGCUGGGAAGGUUCGCCCGUUCGACUGCGGUUCAUCCACGCGGGCUGGCGC
rnacentral:tRNA from 1 species